GUGGAUGCGGAGACCGCUGUGAUGGUUUCUAAGUGCAGGCUUGCUGGUUGGGAUUGAGUAAUAGAAUCCAACUCAUCGGCUUUCCAUUGUACCAAGAUAGAAAUGAUGGGCUGGGUCCACCUUCUGUCAUCACUUGAGCAGACAAAAGGCAUAUUAAGAAAAACACUAGCAACAACUCUGGCAAAGCCUUAAUAUCCUCCACGUUUAAGGAGCAUUUACCCACCACCAGGAGACAAAUGGUUCGAACAGGUCCCAAAAAUGUCACAGCCAGACCUGCAAGAGCUGCCCCUUAAUGCGAGACAUGGCAUCCAAG